GCAUUAAUGGGGUAGUGGUAACCUGGGUCGUUGCCAUAUCAUGUUCCAUGCCACAGUUGCUCGACCCGCCGGGGGUUCGAUUCCCUCUUAAUGCA